CCUACGGGUGGCAGCAGUGAGGAAUAUUGGUCAAUGGACGAGAGUCUGAACCAGCCAAGUAGCGUGAAGGAUGACUGCCCUAUGGGUUGUAAACUUCUUUUAUAUGGGAAUAAAAUGUUCCACGUGUGGGAUUUUGUAUGUACCAUAUGAAUAAGGAUCGGCUAACUCCGUGCCAGCAGCCGCGGUAAUACGGAGGAUCCGAGCGUUAUCCGGAUUUAUUGGGUUUAAAGGGAGCGUAGGUGGAUUGUUAAGUCAGUUGUGAAAGUUUGCGGCUCAACCGUAAAAUUGCAGUUGAAACUGGCAGUCUUGAGUACAGUAGAGGUGGGCGGAAUGCGUGGUGUAGCGGUGAAAUGCUUAGAUAUCACGAAGAACUCCGAUUGCGAUGGCAGUUCACUGGACUGCAACUGACACUGAGGCUCGAAAGUGUGGGUAUCAAACAGGAUUAGAUACCCUUGUAGUC
rnacentral:rRNA from 1 species